AACGAACGCUGGCGGCAGGCCUAACACAUGCAAGUCGAGCGAGGACUUCGGUCCUAGCGGCGGACGGGUGAGUAACGCGUGGGAACGUGCCCUUUGCUUCGGAAUAGCCCUGGGAAACUGGGAGUAAUACCGGAUGAGCCCUUUGGGGAAAGAUUUUUCGGCGAAGGAUCGGCCCGCGUUGGAUUAGGUAGUUGGUGGGGUAAUGGCCUACCAAGCCGACGAUCCAUAGCUGGUUUGAGAGGAUGAUCAGCCACACUGGGACUGAGACACGGCCCAGACUCCUACGGGAGGCAGCAGUGGGGAAUCUUAGACAAUGGGGGAAACCCUGAUCUAGCCAUGCCGCGUGAGCGAUGAAGGCCUUAGGGUUGUAAAGCUCUUUCAGCUGGGAAGAUAAUGACGGUACCAGCAGAAGAAGCCCCGGCUAACUCCGUG
rnacentral:rRNA from 1 species